rnacentral:rRNA from 1 species
GUGGAAAGAGGGGCGGUGAGGCGGGGGAAAACGGUGGUGGGAAGCGGGAUCCGGAGGUGUUAGGCGUAAAGCGAGGGCAGGCGGUUGUUUAAGGCUGAUGAGAAAGCCCUCGGCGUAACCGAGGAAGUGCAUCGGAAACUGGAAAACGGGGGGGCAGAAGAGGACAGGGGAACUCCAGGUGUAGCGGUGAAAGGCGUAGAGAUAGGGAAGAACACCAGGGGCGAAGGCGGCUGUCUGGUCGGUAACUGACGCUGAGGCUCGAAAGCAUGGGUAGCGAACAGGAUUAGAUACCCCGUAGUC